UGUUUUUAAAAGUGGGGGGGGGGAUGCACUUUGCUAUAGAAAAAUAAAAUAGGCGUCGGGUUUGUUAUCUGAAAUAUACUUACAGAUGUCUACUUUCACUUUCCUGGAGUAAAAUUUCGAAAAAGCAACUUCAGCAAAAUUUAGGAUGGGUGGAUCAGACGACACAGAUUGGAAAUUUCAGACAUGUUUUCAAUCAUUUUGUGACCGCCAUGAACUGGGUCAAAAAUGGCAGUCAGCCAAAGAUUACGGACAGGAAAAUCCUGGAUCCACUCUCUUUAUCAUAGCUGUAGUGGCUAUGUGCAGUUUUCCAAUAUUUUGUUUUCUGGCAUUCGUCGUUGGAUCUCUUAUCAUUGGGUUUACAAUUUUCCUCUUUGUGGAAGGUACAGUUCUGACAAUAGCUGCAUUCUUGCUGGGAGGAGCUCUUUUCUUUGCUAGUCUGUUCUCUGUUGGUUUCAGCAUCUUUGCCGUCUUAGCCAUCUAUUCGUUCUCUACUGCUCAAAAAAUUAUCAGCAAAGUGUCUUCGAAAACCCCUAGUUCUGGUCCUGUAAUAGAAUGUGAUUCUACACAGAAAGAUAAGCUGAAGUGAAAAUGUGCGAGCAUAAUUUUGAAAUGACAAUGAACUGCUUUGUAAAUAUGGCAAAAUAACUGACAUGUGUUCAUGAUAUUCAGUGAAUUAUAAAUAUACUGAUGUCAUUUAUUAUGAUAAAAUGUCAUCACAUUUCUUUGACAGUCAUUAACUGUUACAGUUUCCAAUUAAUGGUGCAUUACAAAGUUGUGUAUAUUUUUGUAAAAUGAUUUGUUCUGGUCCUCUAUAUAUUUGAUUUUUUAUUGCUUGAGGUUUGUACCAUAUUUGAAAAUUCUGAUUAACUAUUUUAUAAUAUGUGUUUUUUUAAGUUUUUUUUUU